rnacentral:rRNA from 1 species
UACGAAGGGGGCUAGCGUUGCUCGGAAUCACUGGGCGUAAAGGUGCGUAGGCGGGUCUUUAAGUCAGGGUGAAAUCCUGGAGCUCAACUCCAGAACUGCCCUUGAUACUGACGGUCUCGAGUCCGGGAGAGGUGAGUGGAACUGCGAGUGUAGAGGUGAAAUUCGUAGAUAUUCGCAAGAACACCAGUGGCGAAGGCGGCUCACUGGCCCGGUACUGA